rnacentral:rRNA from 1 species
AAUUACUGGGCGUAAAGGGCGUCUAGGCGGCCAAUCAAGUCAACGUUGAAAGCCCUUGGCUAAACUGAGGGAUGUACGUCGAAACUGAUUGGCUCGAGGAACGUAGAGGAAGGCGGAACUCUCGGAGUAGCGGUGAAAUGCGUAGAGACCGAGAGGUACCCCGAUGGUGAAGACAGCCUUCUGGGCGUUUCCUGACGCUGAAGCGCUAAGGCCAGGGGAGCGAAGGGGAUUAGAUACCCCCGUAGUCCUGGCUUCAAACGAUGUGGGCUUGGUGUCGGCUCCCGACAGAGAGUCGUUGCCGGAGUUAACGCGUUAAGCCCACCGCCUGGGGAUUACGUCCGCAAGGAUGAACCUCAAGGGAAUUGACGGGGGCCCACACAACCGGUGGAGCACGUGGUUUAAUUCGAUGAUAAGCGAAGAACCUUACCAGGGCUUGACCUAGCGGUAGUAGGACCCUGAAAGGGGAACGACCUCAAGCUUUGCUUGAGGAGCCGUGGCAGGUAUUGCAUGGCCGUCGUCAGCUCGUGUCGUGGGACGUUGGGUUAAGUCCCGUAACGAGCGCAACCCCUGCCCUUAAUUGCCAGCGGGUAAUGCCGGGGACUAUAAGGGGACUGCC